rnacentral:rRNA from 1 species
GACGAACGCUGGCGGCGUGCCUAAUACAUGCAAGUUGAGCGCUGAAGGUUGGUACUUGUACCAACUGGAUGAGCAGCGAACGGGUGAGUAACGCGUGGGGAAUCUGCCUUUGAGCGGGGGACAACAUUUGGAAACGAAUGCUAAUACCGCAUAAAAACUUUAAACACAAGUUUUAAGUUUGAAAGAUGCAAUUGCAUCACUCAAAGAUGAUCCCGCGUUGUAUUAGCUAGUUGGUGAGGUAAAGGCUCACCAAGGCGAUGAUACAUAGCCGACCUGAGAGGGUGAUCGGCCAAAUUGGGACUGAGACAAGGCCCAAACUCCUACGGGAGGCAGCAGUAGGGAAUCUUCGGCAAUGGACGAAAGUCUGACCGAGCAACGCCGCGUGAGUGAAGAAGGUUUUCGGAUCGUAAAACUCUGUUGGUAGAGAAGAACGUUGGUGAGAGUGGAAAGCGCAUCAAGUGACGGUAACUACCCAGAAAGGGACGGCUAACUACGUG